rnacentral:rRNA from 1 species
GAUCGCUGCGACGCGGGCGGUUCGCCGCCCGCGGMUCGGCGAGAAUCCAUUGAACCUUAUCAUUUAGAGGAAGGAGAAGUCGUAACAAGGUUUCCGUAGGUGAACCUGCGGAAGGAUCAUUG